rnacentral:lncRNA from 1 species
AGCCUAGCUAAUCUAACUUGGAGACUCCUCCAGAAUACUCAAUCACCCUGAGCAAAAACUAUUUUAGGCCUAUAUAAUACUAGGAACACUCUAAAAAAUAAUUCCUUCAUCUGUAAUAGUAUUAUUAUAGGCUGGGAAGUAUGUAGCAAAUGGAAUACAUGGCUGCCUUAUAAAUCUUCAACCUUGAGCGUGUGGAAUAGUUGUUAGAUUCCCCAAUCGAAUCCACACCGUCAUUAUAUUCAGGGUCCUCUGACCCUCCAAGAG